ACGCUGGCGGUAGGCUUAACACAUGCAAGUCGUGCGAGAAAGUACCUUCGGGUGCGAGUAGAGCGGCGGACGGGUGAGUAACGCGUAGGAAUCUACCUAGUAGAAGGGGAUAGCCCGGGGAAACUCGGAUUAAUACCGUAUACCUCCUUAGGGAGAAAGAGGGCUUAGCUUUGAUGCUCUCGCUAUUAGAUGAGCCUGCGUAAGAUUAGCUUGUUGGUGAGGUAAUGGCUCACCAAGGCGACGAUCUUUAGCUGGUCUGAGAGGACGAUCAGCCACAUUGGGACUGAGACACGGCCCAGACUCCUACGGGAGGCAGCAGUGGGGAAUAUUGGACAAUGGGCGCAAGCCUGAUCCAGCCAUACCGCGUGUGUGAAGAAGGCUUUCGGGUUGUAAAGCACUUUAAGUAAGGAGGAAAAGAUUGUAGUUAAUACCUGCAAUCCGUGACGUUACUUACAGAAUAAGGACCGGCUAAUUCCGUGCCAGCAGCCGCGGUAAUACGGAAGGUCCAAGCGUUAAUCGGAAUUACUGGGCGUAAAGCGCGCGUAGGUGGUUUUUUAAGUUGGAUGUGAAAGCCCUGGGCUCAACCUAGGAACUGCAUCCAAAACUAGAUGACUAGAGUACGAAAGAGGGAAGUAGAAUUCACAGUGUAGCGGUGGAAUGCGUAGAUAUUGUGAAGAAUACCAAUGGCGAAGGCAGCUUCCUGGUUCUGUACUGACACUGAGGUGCGAAAGCGUGGGUAGCGAACAGGAUUAGAUACCCUGGUAGUCCACGCCGUAAACGAUGACAACUAGCUGUUGGGAGACAAGAUCUCUCAGUGGCGCAGCUAACGCUUUAAGUUGUCCGCCUGGGGAGUACGGCC
rnacentral:rRNA from 1 species